GCUUUUGCCAGGUGCUCCUGUGGGCUCCGGGUGACGUCCAAAGGGUGUGGCCCGACUGGCCCUCCAAGCUAUGGAGUAUCCAUAGUAACGCGUCAGCCGCCGACCUCGGGCCAUUUUCCCAAGGCUCCAGGAUCUCUAGAUGUCCCGUCGUCUCAAGGGCGUGUAGAACGCGGGUUUUGGGGGAGGAAUGAACAAAAAUCGACUGGGAGUUUUUUCAAAACACGUACAUAUGCCCUGCCACCCACCCCGCUCUCCUAGGUGCGUCAGAACUGCUGGGACAUCUGUCACGUGAAGGGUCACGUGUACUUGGGGAAGAACUCCCCCGGUGAUUCUGACACUCUUGCCCUACGCCUCAGCCAUUGAGAACUAUUGGUAUGGAGGGCCUGUAAUUUAUCAAGGCGCGGCCUCAGAUCUGUCUGCCUCGCAGAUACCUUCCUCACCCGGGUCAGAAUGACUUGCCUCAGGCUCCUGCCAAAGAGUUUGCACCACUCGUUUCUUCCCUGCUGGUCUUGAACUCCUGGCCUCAAGCAAUCCUCUUUCC